rnacentral:rRNA from 1 species
AUACAGUCAGCGACUAAGCGAAAGCGAUAAGUUAUCCACCUGGGGAGUACGAUCGCAAGGUUGAAACUCAAAGGAAUUGACGGGGGCCCGCACAAGCGGUGGAGCAUGUGGUUUAAUUCGAUGAUACGCGAGGAACCUUACCUGGGCUUAAAUGCAGAGUGAUAGGCCCUGAAAGGGGUUUUUCUUCGGACACUUUGCAAGGUGCUGCAUGGUUGUCGUCGGCUCGUGCCGUGAGGUGUCGGGUUAAGUCCCAUAACGAGCGCAACCCCUACUCUUAGUUGCCAUCAGGUAAAGCUGGGGACUCUAAGGGAACUGCCUACGCAAGUAGAGAGGAAGGUGGGGAUGACGUCAAAUCAGCACGGCCCUUACGUCCAGGGCUACACACGUGCUACAAUGGCCGGUACAGAGGGCAGCCACCUGGUGACAGGGAGCGAAUCUCUAAAGCCGGUCUCAGUUCGGAUCGAAGUCUGCAACCCGACUUCGUGAAGCUGGAAUCGCUAGUAAUCGCGCAUCAGCCAUGGCGCGGUGAAUACGUUCCCGGGCCUUGCACACACCGCCCGUC